GAACAUAAACUCAGAAAACUAGUCAGAGCAUAGAUGAAGACAGAUGAUGCAUGUUAGGCAUAAAAAUCUCUUGGUUUUAGCACCUCAUCCAUGCAAAGUCACAUCCAACCCCCAUUGCUCCAUCGCCUCUCCCAGUUACUCCUUUUCCCUCUUAUAUCCUAACGGACAACCAAAACACCUUGUAGUCAGUUCUAAAGCUGCCUUCCUAGUGUAAAAGGAAGCCCCAUUAUUAUUGCUUUCACUGCACAUCCCCAUCCCUCUAAACCUCCAACUCUUCUUUAUAAACGCCACCACCUUUCUCCUCCAAUCCCCACUUCUUCUUCGCUGCUUCUUUCUUUCUUUCAAUGAUGCUGUUAUUUUCUUUUUGUUUGUUUUAUAUAUAUCUUGUCUCCUUUGGGAAAGUUCCUACAUCUCUUCAUCUUUGUCUUGGGAUUCUGGGUUCUAUUUCAUUGGUUUAGAGAUCAAUAAUGAUUGGCAUAUCAUGUAGCAGUGUUUUUCAUCUAAAGUCUUGCAUGUGGAAACGAGGUUAUCUAUCUAUAUGUGAUACAGCCAAGGAUGACUUGCCGGCUCACUUCUACUUAACAUAAAUCAUGCUCUCUACAUAAGCAGCUAAAAGUUAGAGCACUAAGCUAAAACCUGUAUAUGUUGUCAUCAAUUAAUUUAUAAUAAAUGUUAAUUGAUCGGCAAGUCAUCCGUGGCUAUAUCAUUGUCUCAUUUUCUCAUUCUAGAUUUAUGAUGAAAUUACAAAAAUAGAAGUGAAUCCUUGAGUGCUGAUGAACUGCUCCAUAAACGCUUCAAGGUUUCAAUUUGCUCCAUUUCCUUGUUUGCUUAGUGAAGCUCAUGUAUCGAUUCCAGAUAUAAUUUGUACAUAAAGAUAUUAAUUUCAAGUAUUUUAUAUUCAUAUUUAGCGGUGCAAAAAUUCACAUGAAUAAUAAGUAUAAAUAAAUCAUUUCUAUUUUAAUAUCGCAGGAAAGUUGAAAUAUUAAUACAUCCGUGCUAUAUUAUAGACAUCGUACAUGGCACAGAGUUUGGCAUUUUUUUUUAAAAAAAGAGGACAGAAAGGUUGGAAAGUGUUGUCAUUUUCUGCUAAA